rnacentral:rRNA from 1 species
AUUGAACGCUGGCGGCAGGCCUAACACAUGCCAGUCGAGCGGAUGAAGGGAGCUUGCUCCUGGAUUCAGCGGCGGACGGGUGAGUAAUGCCUAGGAACCUGCCUGGUAGUGGGGGAUAACGUCCGGAAACGGGCGCUAAUACCGCAUACGUCCUGAGGGAGAAAGUGGGGGAUCUUCGGACCUCACGCUAUCAGAUGAGCCUAGGUCGGAUUAGCUAGUUGGUGGGGUAAAGGCCUACCAAGGCGACGAUCCGUAACUGGUCUGAGAGGAUGAUCAGUCACACUGGAACUGAGACACGGUCCAGACUCCUACGGGAGGCAGCAGUGGGGAAUAUUGGACAAUGGGCGAAAGCCUGAUCCAGCCAUGCCGCGUGUGUGAAGAAGGUCUUCGGAUUGUAAAGCACUUUAAGUUGGGAGGAAGGGCAGUAAGUUAAUACCUUGCUGUUUUGACGUUACCAACAGAAUAAGCACCGGCUAACUUCGUG